GGAUAGCUCAAUUGGUUAGAGCAUGGUGCUGAUAACACCAGGGUUGCACAGGGUUCGAUCCCCAUAUGAGACA